UACGUAGGGUGCGAGCGUUGUCCGGAAUUAUUGGGCGUAAAGAGCUCGUAGGCGGUCUGUCGCGUCGAAUGUGAAAACCCGGGGCUCAACUCCGGGCUUGCAUUCGAUACGGGCAGGCUAGAGUUCGGUAGGGGAGUCUGGAAUUCCUGGUGUAGCGGUGAAAUGCGCAGAUAUCGGGAAGAACACCCGUGGCGAAGGCGGCUCUCUGGGACGGUACUGACGCUGAGACGCGAAAGCGUGGGGAGCGAACAGG
rnacentral:rRNA from 1 species